UACAGAGGUGGCAAGCGUUGUUCGGAAUUACUGGGCGUAAAGCGUGCGCAGGCGGUGAUGUAAGACCGAUGUGAAAUCCCCGGGCUUAACCUGGGAACUGCACUGGUGACUGCAUCGCUCGAGUAUGGCAGAGGGGGGUAGAAUUCCACGUGUAGCAGUGAAAUGCGUAGAGAUGUGGAGGAAUACCGAUGGCGAAGGCAGCCCCCUGGGUCAAUACUGACGCUCAUGCACGAAAGCGUGGGGAGCAAACAGG
rnacentral:rRNA from 1 species